AACCCGCCUGCGUGAAGUCGGAAUCGCUAGUAAUCGCGGAUCAGCAUGCCGCGGUGAAUACGUUCCCGGGCCUUGUACACACCGCCCGUCACACCAUGAGAGUCGGGAACACCCGAAGUCCGUAGCCUAACCGCAAGGAGGGCGCGGCCGAAGGUGGGUUCGAUAAUUGGGGUGAAGUCGUAACAAGGUAUC
rnacentral:rRNA from 1 species